GUUUUGAUAAUUUAAAUUAAAAUAUUGAUUUUGUAAAUCAAUUAUGAGUUACCUCUCAAAACU
rnacentral:tRNA from 1 species